rnacentral:rRNA from 1 species
AGUCGAACGGCAGCACGGGCUUCGGCCUGGUGGCGAGUGGCGAACGGGUGAGUAAUGCAUCGGAACGUGCCCAUGUCGUGGGGGAUAACGUAGCGAAAGCUACGCUAAUACCGCAUACGCCCUGAGGGGGAAAGCGGGGGAUUCUUCGGAACCUCGCGCGAUUGGAGCGGCCGAUGUCGGAUUAGCUAGUAGGUGAGGUAAAGGCUCACCUAGGCGACGAUCCGUAGCGGGUCUGAGAGGAUGAUCCGCCACACUGGGACUGAGACACGGCCCAGACUCCUACGGGAGGCAGCAGUGGGGAAUUUUGGACAAUGGGGGCAACCCUGAUCCAGCCAUGCCGCGUGAGUGAAGAAGGCCUUCGGGUUGUAAAGCUCUUUCGGCCGGGAAGAAAUCGGCGACUCUAACAUAGUCGCUGGAUGACGGUACCGGACUAAGAAGCACCGGCUAACUACGUGCCAGCAGCC